rnacentral:rRNA from 1 species
GGAUUAGAUACCCUGGUAGUCCACGCCGUAAACGAUGUCUACUUGGAGGUUGUGGCCUUGAGCCGUGGCUUUCGGAGCUAACGCACUAAGUUGACCGCCUGGGGAGUACGGUCGCAAGAUUAAAACUCAAAUGAAUUGACGGGGGCCCGCACAAGCGGUGGAGCAUGUGGUUUAAUUCGAUGCAACGCGAAGAACCUUACCAUCCCUUGACAUCCAGAGAAGUUUCUAGAGAUAGAUUCGUGCCUUCGGGAACUCUGAGACAGGUGCUACAUGGCUGUCGUCAGCUCGUGCUG